GGUGGUUUUAGCUCAGUUGGUUAGAGCGUCUGAUUGUGGUUCAGAAGGUCGCCGGUUCGAGACCGGUAUCCCACCC
rnacentral:tRNA from 1 species